rnacentral:rRNA from 1 species
UACGUAGGGACCAAGCGUUGUUCGGAUUUACUGGGCGUAAAGCGCACGUAGGCGGCUUGUUAAGUCAGGGGUGAAAUCCUGGAGCUCAACUCCAGAACUGCCUUUGAUACUGGCGAGCUUGAGUCCGGGAGAGGUGAGUGGAACUGCGAGUGUAGAGGUGAAAUUCGUAGAUAUUCGCAAGAACACCAGUGGCGAAGGCGGCUCACUGGCCCGGUACUGACGCUGAGGUGCGAAAGCGUGGGGAGCAAACAGG